GGUGAGCCUGCUCUCUCCCUUUCUGACUGUAACCUUUUGAUGCCCUGCCAGUCAUGUUCACUCUUGUCACUCGGCCACAUGAUCCACCUGGUCACCCUCCUAGAAUCAUGCAUGAGCCUUCUGAAGAGGAGCCUUGAGGGAAGAGUGUUUUGCUGGAGAGGUGGUUCCCACAGUGAGAUUCCAGGCAUCAGUGGGGAUCGUGCAUGGAGACGGUGUGGAGAACCUGUCUGCCAUCUGUACCCCAGCCAAUGAUGCACACUCUUUCGUCUUCCCUCCUUCAUCUCAGAUGUGACUCCCCACCCCCAGCCGGGUGCUCCGAGCCAUGGCCGACACCAUCUUCGGCAGCGGGAAUGAUCAGUGGGUUUGCCCCAAUGACCGGCAGCUUGCCCUUCGAGCCAAGUGAGUACCUCUGGGGCCCCCCAGGCCGUCCCUUCCUUCUGCCUCCCUGCUCCUCUCCUGUCUUCAGCAAGAUUCAUUCCCAGGGGCCCAGAAAGAGAUGUUUGGAGAGAGGUGCCUGUCAGAUGCACGCCACACUCCAGGCCCUGGACAAAGCCAUUCACUCAUUUAACUACCAUGCAGAAUUUAUCCCCAUUUCCCUGAUGAGCAAAGUGAGGCUGAGCUCCUUGCCCACAUCACUUAACUUGUGGGUGGCAGGGCUGCAACCCACACCUGGGUCCAGCUGACUCCUUAGCCUGUGUCCUUUCUAUCAACAGGCGGCAGGGACCCACACCACCUCAUGUGCCUUCUCUCCUGUCACUGAGCUGUAGGACUGCAAGUCCCUUAAGACAGGGAGGCUUUGAUGUCUGGAUGCCCAGUCAUAGCCCAGUGCUUGGCACUGUCAGACGGGGGAACAAAAGUCUGUUGCAGUGGACGAGGCGCUGCCCCUGAGGCUGAAGCACAACCAGCCCCAAGCUGCCCCAGGGCCUUCUCUGUGCUCUCCUGAGAAUCUCGCUAGUUCUUUGCUUCCAGUUUCUUCCCUUGGGGGUCCUGGCUUUCUUUUUUCUUGUCGCCCAGGCUGGAGUGCAAUGGCCCGAUCUUAGCUCACUGCAGCCUCUGCCUCCCUGGUUUAAGCAAUUCUCCUGCCUCCUGAGUAGCUGGGAUUACAGGUGCCCACUACCACAAUGGGCUAAUUUUUGUAUUUUUAGUAGAGACGGGGGUUUUACCAUGUUGGCCAGGCUGGUCUCGAACUCCUGACCUCAAGUGAUCCACCCGCCUUGGUCUCCCAAAGUGCUGGGAUUACAGGCGUGAGCCACCGCGCCUGGCCCUGGUUUUCCUGCUGUCCCUCAGCCUAGUGACCUCUCAGCUCUGGGUAGGUCAGGCCAUCUCCACCGACUGUGCACUGUGGCUGGAGAUGGGGGUUCUCAGAUGCCUUGCCUGCCUUCCAGUCCCUCCCUGUCCCUCAGAGGGGCGGGGCGUCUCUGGCAUGUGAUAAGUCCAAAAGGGCCUCUUCAUCCUUCAACCCAUGCCAAUUACGGGAGCAAGCAUUUCCCAAGUGGGACCAAAUUAAAAAAAUUUGCAAUUAGAUGUUAUGAGCCUGCAGGGGACAGAGCUGAAACAUCAAAGGGGGAUGGAAAGAUUAAUUCGAAACGCCCCAGGAGAGCGGAGUCAUGCGUGAUUUGUAGGAAUCUGCACCACAGUUAACUGGUCCCCUUCGCCAGGAGGGCUCGGCUCCUUCAUGUGGCCCCCGCAGUGGGUGAGGUCGGUCCGUCUCCCUCUCUGUCCUCUGACGCCAGGCAGAUGAAGUGUCCUCCCGGGCAGGGUAGGAGUUUCCAAGGAGAGCUCCGCCACCGUGCUCUCGACAGGGCCCAGCAGGACUCCUGACCCUCCAGGGUUCCCUUCAGCUCUCCCUGACCUUCUCUCUCACUCAGCAGCAGCCAAAUGCUGUCAUAGCCCCUUUGGAAGAGAGAAUGAUUUUAUCCCCUCCCCUGGGGUGCACUGCCUUGUAGUACCUGGCACAGUCUCUGGAAAGGAGAGGCGUACUAAACUCUAGCCGCAGAGCUGGGAGCUGUGUCCCGUGGGACCCUCAGGGACAUCUGGGCUGCAGCUCGGGGCUCCCCUCAGUCCUCCAGCUGCCACCAGACGUUUUCUAACCCCCUACUAUGUGCCAGGCACUCUGGGACCCAGAAGAUGGGUCAAUGUUAGAUGGGAGUAGGGGGGAAGCACUUCCAGGCAGAAGGAACAGCAUGUGCAAAGGCCCUGAGGUAGAAGGAACAGGGCAUGUGGAGGCCCUGGCCGGAGGUCAGUGUGUUGUGAGUGCAAAAUGUGAAGGGUGGACAGUGUGGAAGGAAGAUGGAGAGGUAGGCAGGGGCCAGGGGCAGGGCCUGGUCCUCCAGAGACUCACGUUCCGGAGGGGAGAUGGAGGGUUUCAUGUUGUCUCGCAAUAAUGUGUCAGCCCAAUGAAGGACGUAUACCCAGGCCUUCCAGGAACUCUGAGAGUAGAUUCUUUACCUGUUUUGGAUCAAGGAAAAGCCUCCAGGUGAAGGUCACGUGUAAAGAAGUCUUUAAAAGAAUAGGCCGGUCGCGGUGGCUCACGCCUGUAAUCUCAGCACCUCGGGAGGCCGGGCGCGGCGGCUCACGCCUGUAAUCCCAGCACUUUGGGAGGCGGAGGCGGGCGG
rnacentral:lncRNA from 1 species